CUUUAUGGUGAUGACAUAGGUUAUAGUUUCUCUGACUAUCAUGCAUCUGAGUCAUGACCUAUUGCCAAAGCUAUGAUCAAAACUGGGAAGCUGCUGUCUAGAGGUUCUGUUAUAAAAACUGAUGAGAGGCCUAAGAAGGAAAGCAGGAUGCUGAAGUUUGGAGAAUAACAAGUUGAGUGGACUCCAGGGA